ACAUUUCAGUUUGGGCACUCUAAUGAGACUGCCGGUGACAAGCCGGAGGAAGGUGGGGAUGACGUCAAGUCCUCAUGGCCCUUAUAGGUGGGGCUACACACGUCAUACAAUGGCUGGUACAAAGGGCAGCCACUUAGCGAUAAGGCGCGAAUCCCAUAAAACCUGUCUCAGUCCGGAUUGGAGUCUGCAACUCGACUCCAUGAAGUUGGAAUCGCUAGUAAUCGCAGAUCAGCACGCUGCGGUGAAUACGUUCCCGGGCCUU
rnacentral:rRNA from 1 species